rnacentral:lncRNA from 1 species
CUCUCUGAUACAUUGGCGAAGGGUUUGAUUUCUUUGGAUGUUUCUUUCUAAGGCUGAGAUAUGAUGUAUUUGGAACUAAUUGUCUUAUAAAUUUGCAUGAUUUGCAUGAUUGUUUCAUUUAUUUCUUCGUUUAGAUUCAUUGGAGGUUGCCAAUCUCUAAAGCCCCAACAUGAUUUUUUACAAUCUAGAUCUCCCUCCC